GGUUAUGGGGCUAGGGUAAGGUUUAAGGUUUUUGGCGUUAGGGUUAAAAUCACCGUCCAAAACCUUUUUAGGAACAUGUUUCAGACCUUUUGGAGUUGGUAACACCAAAAAAAAAAUGUAAAAUAAAAAAAAAUAUUUGGGGUGUUCAAGCUUGCUGAAGGUAAUACCCGGGUAUUAGGUUUUGGGGCUAGGGUAAGGUUUAAGGUUUUUGGUGUUAGGGUUAAAAUCACUGUCCAAAACCUUUUUAGGAACAUGUUUCAGACCUUUUGGAGUAGGUUACACCAAAAAAAAAUGUAAAAUGAAAAGAAAAUAUUUGGGGUGUUCAAGCUUCCUGAAGGUCAUACCCGGGUAUUAGGUUAUGGGGCUAUAGUAAAGUUUAAGGUUUUUGGCGUUAGGGUUAAAAUCACUGUCCAAUAUUUUUUAAGGAACUAUUUUCCAACCUUUUGGAGUUAGUUAGACCAAAAAAAAAACGAAAAAUGAAAAGAAAAUAUUUGGGGUGUUCGGGCUUCCUGAAGGUAAUACCAAGGUAUUAGGUUUUGGGGCUAGGGUAAGGUUUAAGGUUUUUGGCGUUAGGGUUAAAAUCACUGUCCAAAACCUUUGUAGGAACUCUUUUCCAACCUUUGGGAAUUAGUUAGACAAAAAAAAAGAUAAAUGAAAAAAAAAUAUUUGGGGUGUUCGGGCUUCCUGAAGGAAAUACCCGGGUAUUAGGUUUUGGGGCUAGGGUUAGGUUUAAGGUUUUUGGCGUUAGGGUUAAAAUCACUGUCCAAUAUUUUUUCAGGAACAUGUUUCAGACCUUUGGGAGUUAGUUAGACAAAAAAAAAAGAAAAAGAAAAAAAAAAUAUUUGGGGUGUUCGGGUUUCCUGAAGGUAAUACCCCGGUAUUAGGUUAUGGGGCUAGGGUAAGGUUUAAGGUUUUUGGCGUAAGGGUUAAAAUCACUGUCCAAAACCUUUUUAGGAACAUGUUUAAGACCUUUUACAGUUGGUAACACCAAAAAAAAAUGUAAAAUUAAAAAAAAAUAUUUGGGGUGUUCGGGCUUCCUGAAGGUAAUACUUUGUAUUACCUUUGUAGGAAGUCUUUUCCAACCUUUUGGAGUAAGUCUUUUGAAGGAAGUCUUUUCCAACCUUUUGGAGUUAGUUAGACAAAAAAAAAAAAGAUAAAUGAAAAAAAAAUAUUUGGGGUGUUCGGGCUUCCUGAAGGUAAUACCCGGGUAUUAGGUUAUGGGGCUAGGGUAAGGAUUAAGGUUUUUGGCGUAAGGGUUAAAAUCACUGUCCAAAACCUUUUUAGGAACAUGUUUCAGACAUUUUGGAGUUGGUUACACCAAAAAAAAUGUAAAAUGAAAAACAAUUUUUUUUGGGUGUUCGGGCUUCUUGAAGGUAAUACUAGGUUUCCUGGCUAGGGUAAUGUUUAAGGUUUUUGGUGUUAGGGUUAAAAUCAAUGUCCAAAACCUUUGUAGGAACUCUUUUCCAACCUUUGAGAGCAAGUUAGACCAAAAAAAAAAAGAAAAAUAAAAAAUAUAUAUUUGGGGUGUUCGGGCUUCCUGAAGGUAAUACCCGGGUAUUAGGUUUUGGGGCUAGGGUUAGGUUUAAGGUUUUUGGCGUUAGGGUUAAAAUCACUGUCCAAAACCUUUGUAGGAACUAUUUUCCAACCUUUGGGAAUUAGUUAGACAAAAAAAAAAAAGAUAAAUGAAAAAAAAAUAUUUGGGGUGUUCGGGCUUCCUGAAGGAAAUACCCGGGUAUUAGGUUUUGGGGCUAGGGUUAGGUUUAAGGUUUUUGGCGUUAGGGUUAAAAUAACUGUCCAAUAUUUUUUAAGGAACAUGUUUCAGACCUUUGGGAGUUAGUUAGACAAAAAAAAAAGAAAAAGAAAAAAAAACUAGGACCCCGUUGGGGCACUGGCGGGCCCGAGCUGUGUCGCGUCCCCCCCCCAACGCGCUGCCUCCCCGUCCCAUUCGCGUCCUCUGGCCGUCGCCCUCUCUGGUAACGCCCAUCACUGCAAAGACCCUUUUCCUUCAUCUGCGUUUGCUGUUCUUCCUGCCAGUGCGUGUUGCUUUCACUUACACUUGCCACAGCCAGCCUCGUGAGUGCCUAGCCUAUUGGAUAUCACUGUCACCUACACAGGACAGUCAUUACCUUUCUAUUAAUACUUUGUUUUUUAAUUUCACAUUAAUUUCCAUAUUGUAUAAACAACUGGAAAAAACUUGAGCCCCUGCCCCUGUAUAAUCAUGUGCACGUCUCUGUUUUAGCUCUAAGGUGAAUCUUCACUGCUCAUGUUCUCCUCAGAAGCAGUCACCUCACUCCCCUCAGGUUACUGUACACAUGCACCAACUGCCUGCUUCAGGUUUGGAUGGAGCUUCAUGGUUGUCUUUUGGAGAAAUGACCAGUCAAGUUGUGUUUGAAAUUUGAUUUUUUUCAGGGGCAAAAGGAGCCUCUGCAUUCUUGUCAAAUAUGUAAAUAGCAUGUUUUUGCAGGUGCUAAAAACCAGACUCUGAGUGUGUGUGUGUGCGUGUGUGUGUGUGUCUGUGUGUGUGUGUGUGUGUGUGUGUGUGUGUGUGCGUUCAAGUCACAUGACAUAUUUAACCGGAUGUAGCUGCAAGACGGAGCCUCGUUGACUCUCCGUUUCAACUUAUCUCAAAAGUGAGGACCUCAACCUAUAUACCAGUUUUUAAAUUGUGUUGAUAGGCCAAAUAAAACCAGAGUUAUGAUAAAUUAUGUCCGCGAUACUUGUUUUCUGCUUAUUUUGAUCACGUUCGGCGCUCGAUCGCGCUGUAUGAGACAGGAAAACAUAGCAUGCAGACAUUAGCGACAGGUCUUACAGGCGGAAAAGGCUUGCCAAAGGAAAAAAAAACACACCACAACAUCUCUCCUAUUGGUGGAAAACUUCACCACAACAACCAAUCCAAAAUUAUAUGGUGACUGAUUGACAAGGGGCGGGAACUUACGUUCUUCCUGCAAUAUGAGAAGGGAGGGAGGGACUCUCAGCAGGGAUGCAGUCUGGGACACGUAGUUGCAAACCUAGCGACUUUGUUGUUAGAUUCAAUGACUUUUCAGACCCCCUAGCGACUUUUUUUUAGAAAGAAAGUGACUUUUAUCGACUUCUUCUGGAGUUUAGAGACUCUGACAUGAAGCAGGCUUUCCUUACUGAGGAGUUAGCAACACUGCUAAGGGUGCAGAGCCACACAUGCGCUCCGAGCUCUGCA
rnacentral:lncRNA from 1 species